UAACCAUGUUGUGGGCAACGUCGUAAUAAUUCCUUAAACCUCUCCCAAGCCUCAUAGAAUGGUUCUUGAUCUAACUGUCGAAAUUGUCCAAUAUCGCUGCGUAA